UGUAGCCCUUUCUAACUAUACAAUUCAUAAUCGAAAGCAUUUGUCAUGAAAAUCUUACCUAUACUUACUGUUUUUCUUAUUUUCACUUCUAUGAUUAUGGUUAUAGGCGCCAAAAGUGGAAAUGAAGAGACAAGGAAAGUAGCACCAAUAGAUUGUUUUGAUACCAACAAGGGUCAACCAAACAAAGACCCGGAGUAUUGUUGUAGUGCUAUGGGGAAGAACUGGGAUCGUUGUUUUAAAACCCGUGCAGAAUGUGAAGCAGAAUGCAUAUGACUUUAUUGUAUAUUCAUUUCUUCAUCUUAGUUAUAUUUGAUGGAACUGAAAUUGUAACACAGCAUAACAUGUAAAGAUAUAUAGUAAUUUAUGUUUGAAACAUGCAUGUAUCCAUCUAGGGUUUCAAAACCAUAUAAUACCAUACCAGAUUUGAUAGUUA